rnacentral:rRNA from 1 species
CCGCAAUGGGCGAAAGCUGACGGAGCAACGCCGCGUGAGURAUGAAGGUCUUCGGAUCGUAAAACUCUGUUAUCAGGGAAGAACAAACGUGUAAGUAACUGUGCACGUCUUGACGGUACCUGAUCAGAAAGCCACGGCUAACUACGUGCCAGCAGCCGCGGUAAUACGUAGGUGGCAAGCGUUAUCCGGAAUUAUUGGGC